UACGGAGGGUGCGAGCGUUGUCCGGAAUCACUGGGCGUAAAGAGCGUGUAGGCGGCCAGGUAGGUCUGCUGUGAAAACUCGAGGCUCAACCUCGAGACGUCGGCGGAAACCAUCUGGCUAGAGUCCGGAAGAGGAGAGUGGAAUUCCUGGUGUAGCGGUGAAAUGCGCAGAUAUCAGGAAGAACACCCGUGGCGAAGGCGGCUCUCUGGGACGGUACUGACGCUGAGACGCGAAAGCGUGGGGAGCGAACAGG
rnacentral:rRNA from 1 species